AAAACCACUGAAAUCUAACUCUCCAUCAUCCAACCGGCACAGCAACGUUUCCAAAUCCUGCGAUCGUGACUAAGACCAAACUUCUUCUGCCAUAGCAACUGUGUUACUUUGUCACAACACCGUCUCAGCUGGGCCAGGAAUCCAACAUGUCAGUCACUGCUGCUGUUCUCCUGGUGCUGCUGAAGGUUCAGGUCAGUGGGUCAUGUGAUGCUGAAGAAACGUUACUGAUCUGCCGCAGCUUUCCUGAAAACUUUACAUGAACAUACACAUGGUGGUGGUGAACUCUAAUCAAUCAAUCAAUUAAUCUGUCAGUCUUUCAGAUGUGGAAAGUAACGAAUUAUAUUUACUUGUAUUACUGUAUUUGGGAGACAUACUGUAUUAAUAAAACAUUUUUUGAGAAAAA